UACGGAAGGGGCAAGCGUUGUUCGGAAUCAUUGGGCGUAAAGGGCGCGUAGGUGGCCCGGUCAGUCCGUGGUGAAAGCGCGGGGCUCAACCCCGCGUCGGCCAUGGAUACUGCUGGGCUUGAGCACUGUAGAGGCAGGCGGAAUUCCGGGUGUAGCGGUGGAAUGCGUAGAGAUCCGGAAGAACACCGGUGGCGAAGGCGGCCUGCUGGGCAGUGGCUGACACUGAGGCGCGACAGCGUGGGGAGCAAACAGGG
rnacentral:rRNA from 1 species